rnacentral:rRNA from 1 species
CGGAACGGGUGAGUAACGCGUGAGGAACCUGCCUCAAAGAGGGGGACGAACAGUUGGAAACGACUGCUAAUACCGCAUAAGCCCACGGCUCGGCAUCGAGCAGAGGGAAAAGGAGCAAUCCGCUUUGAGAUGGCCUCGCGUCCGAUUAGCUAGUUGGUGAGGUAACGGCCCACCAAGGCGACGAUCGGUAGCCGGACUGAGAGGUUGAACGGCCACAUUGGGACUGAGACACGGCCCAGACUCCUACGGGAGGCAGCAUG